AUCGAACGCUGGCGGCAUGCCUUACACAUGCAAGUCGAACGGUAACGCGGGGCAACCUGGCGACGAGUGGCGAACGGGUGAGUAAUGCAUCGGAACGUGCCCAGUAGCGGGGGAUAGUCCGGCGAAAGCCGGAUUAAUACCGCAUACGACCUACGGGGGGAAGGGGGGGAUCGCAAGACCUCCAGCUAUUGGACUGGCCGAUGUCAGAUUAGCUAGUUGGUGGGGUAAAAGCCUACCAAGGCGACGAUCUGUAGCUGGUCUGAGAGGACGACCAGCCACACUGGGACUGAGACACGGCCCAGACUCCUACGGGAGGCAGCAGUGGGGAAUUUUGGACAAUGGGCGAAAGCCUGAUCCAGCCAUGCCGCGUGCGGGAAGAAGGCCUUCGGGUUGUAAACCGCUUUUGUCAGGGAAGAAAUCUUCUGAGUUAAUACCUCGGGAGGAUGACGGUACCUGAAGAAUAAGCACCGGCUAACUACGUGCCAGCAGCCGCGGUAA
rnacentral:rRNA from 1 species